rnacentral:rRNA from 1 species
GAUGAACGCUGGCGGCGUGCCUAAUACAUGCAAGUCGAGCGAACGGACGAGAAGCUUGCUUCUCUGAUGUUAGCGGCGGACGGGUGAGUAACACGUGGAUAACCUGCCUAUAAGACUGGGAUAACUUCGGGAAACCGUAGCUAAUACCGGAUAAUAUUUUGAACCGCAUGGUUCAAAAGUGAAAGACGGUCUUGCUGUCACUUAUAGAUGGAUCCGCGCUGCAUUAGCUAGUUGGUAAGGUAACGGCUUACCAAGGCAACGAUGCAUAGCCGACCUGAGAGGGUGAUCGGCCACACUGGAACUGAGACACGGUCCAGACUCCUACGGGAGGCAGCAGUAGGCAAUCUUCCGCAAUGGGCGAAAGCCUGACGGAGCAACGCCGCGUGAGUGAUGAAGGUCUUCGGAUCGUAAAACUCUGUUAUUAGGGAAGAACAUAUGUGUAAGUAACUGUGCACAUCUUGACGGUACCUAAUCAGAAAGCCACGGCUAACUACGUG